GGGGAUAACCCCUGGGAAACUGGGGCUAAUACCGGAUAGAGCAUUGACCGCUGGAAUGCGCGAUGCUCGAAAGCUGAGGCGCCAAAGGAUAGGUCUGCGGCCGAUUAGGUUGUUGUUGAUGUAACGGAUCAACAAGCCUACGAUCGGUAUGGGUUGUGAGAGCAAUAGCCCAGAGAUGGGUUCUGAGAUAAGAACCCAGGUCCUACGGGACGCAUCAGGCGCGAAAACUUUACAAUGUGCGAAAGCACGAUAAGGGAACUCUGAGUGCCUCCAAAGGAGGCUGUUCAGGUGUCUAAAAAGCAUCUGAAGUAAGGGCUGGGCAAGACCGGUGCCAGCCGCCGCGGUAACACCGGCAGCCCAAGUGGUGGCCACUUUUACUGGGUCUAAAGCGUUCGUAGCCGGCUAAAUAAGUUCCUUGGGAAAUUUGAUCGCUUAACGAUCAAGCUUUCAGGGAAUACUGCUUGGCUUGGGACCGGGAGAGGUCAGAGGUACCUCAGGGGUAGGGGUGAAAUCCGUUAAUCCUUGGGGGACCGCCAGUAGCGAAGGCGUCUGACCAGACCGGAUCCGACGGUGAGGGACGAAGGCUAGGGUAGCGAACCGGAUUAGAUACCCGGGUAGUCCUAGCUGUAAACGAUGCGGGCUAGGUGUUGGCAUUACUGCGAGUGAUGCCAGUGCCGAAGGGAAGCCGUUAAGCCCGCCAUCUGGGGAGUACGGUCGCAAGGCUGAAACUUAAAGGAAUUGGCGGGGGAGCACUACAACGGGUGGAGCCUGCGGUUC
rnacentral:rRNA from 1 species